AUGAACAAUAGAAGAACUAGAAUCCAAGUUGUUAUUAUUGGAGUGAAAGAGAAAAGGGAAAAGAAAGCCAUUGAUGAAGGAGUGAAGAAAAGGAAAGGAAAAAGUGCUACUACUAGAGUGAGAUUUUUUUACAGUGUCAUAAAUAUAAACGAAGAAUGGAAAUUCAAGAGUGAUAAUCUAACUAGUGAGUUUGUGUUUCUAUUUUUGGGGAGGGACAAUGAGACUGUAUAG